AAUAAAUACAACAGCCUUUGUUACCCUUCCUCAAGGCUUUGCGUCAAAUGCCACCUCCCCAGGAAGACCUUCCUGGUCACCACCUGCCUUAGCCAUUUGGGCAUGAUUGCUCCCUCCCCUGAAUUCUGCUGCACCUUUGUCAUGUCUCCUGAGCUGCUAUUCACAUGUUCCUGGAUUGUGCUAAGGCUGUGUGUGCGUAUCUUGCAUGUGUCAACAGAAUGAUAGUGAAGGAUUAGCUGUGGGAUGAUGGUGGGGCUUGAUCUGAAACAGUGGCUUACGAGUGACGCACCCUACUGGAUGUGAGAAUGAUGGGAGACAAGAACACAAAUGAUGCUGGCCUGACAUCCCCCUGGCUUGUAAAAGAUGACACAUUCUUCUCUGGAUAAACCAGCUUCCAUGAAGCAAAGGCCCAAAGCAGUGCCCUCCUGUCUGCCUAUAAGCCACAUGAAGUGAAAGGCCAUGUCUUGAACGGAGAAGAACAAAUUUGGGCAUGUUGCAAAUGUGGCCUGGAGUUUGUACUGUGAGAUUAAAGGAUGUCUGGUUGAAAUAAAGACAGGCCAAAAAAAAAAAAACCAGACUGAAGGAAGGAAAUUACAGGCUAUAGGAGUCUUGGGCCUGGAGGCCCAAAUGAAGCUGGUAAAGUGCCUCACUGUUUGUCAGAGGUCAGCAGAAGAGGGGGAAGCACUUGGCUACUGAAGUGGACAAUGGAAGUGACUUUGUUAGAGGCUGAGAAGAAGAAUUCUCUCCCUAAGUGCUGGGGAUCAAAUCCAGGACCUCAAAUGUGCUCGGUGAUUUGGCCACAUUCUUCAAGGUCUUUCUGUCAUGUUUUCUGAUACAGUUAACAUAAUCUGCAGCCACCUUUUCUGGGAAUUGGUCUCACUCACAAGCGAUGCUCAAAGACUAUGCCUCGCACAGAAUAAGUGCCAAUAAAUAUUUGUUGAAUUGAUUUUCCUCUUCAAAGAUGUGGCAGAAAGACCCUCCUGCCUUAUGGACAUAAUUCUUUUGUGCAGCGGUUAUUGAAUUCCUUCUGCAUGGAUAUUGGUUGCAUCAGCCAAUACAAGAUGUCUUUCUUGUGUUUCCUGAUGUGGAAACCAGACCCUGCUCUGUGAUGGAGUCUCCUGAUGUUGACCAGCCUCUUCCUGCCUCCCUACAGCAAGGUGGGGUCCUCCCUGAUGAUGACAGCAAGAUGCAAGUUAAGACUAUAAACCCUGUGUGGUGAGGAACUCUGUCCAUGUUACUCAGAACUCUAAGGAGCUGGAAGUCACAGAAGAAGACAGAUCAAGGAUGCAGUACUGGUCUGAGCCAGAAGGCUGGGAAGCUUCCCAGAGAGUUGCUGGCAUUAGUCUGCAUUGAAAGGCUGAAAAACUAGAGUCUGAUAUCCACAGGUGAUGACAGUAGCAAAGGACAUGCCUAUUCAAGCAGAGCGGAGCUUUCUAAAUGCAAGCUGAAUGCCUUCCUUCUUUCCUUCUCAUUCCACCCAGGCUAUAAGCCUGCUUCUUGGUGUUACCCACAAUCAGGAGAGUUCUUCCUUCUCAUGCCAAUGGUCUCUGAAAUCAUGACACAGACACACCCAGAAGUGUGUUUUACUAAUCUGCUAGGCUUUUCUUAGUCUAGUCAAAUCGAUAUAUCACAAUUAACAGUCACAGG
rnacentral:lncRNA from 1 species